GAUGAACGCUGACAGAAUGCUUAACACAUGCAGGUCAACUUGUGGCGGUCGGGUGAGUAACGAGUAACGAACUUGCCUCGCAGUUAGGGACAACGUUUGGCAACGAAUGCUAAUACCUGAUACUGUGAGAGAGCUUUGCGUCCCAUUAGCUAGUUGGCGAGGUAACGGCUCACCAAGGCGAUGAUGGGUAGCCGGCCGGAGAGGGGUAUCGGCCACAAGGGGACUGAGACACGGCCCUUACUCCUACGGGAGGCAGCAGUGGGGAAUAUUGAACAAAGGACCAAAGUCUGAUCCAGCAAGUCUGGGUGCACGAUGAAGUUCUCGGAAUGUAAAGUGCUUUCAGUUGGGAAGCGGUACCAACAGAAGAAGUGACGGCUAAAUACGUGCCAGCAGCCGCGGUAAUUC
rnacentral:rRNA from 1 species